rnacentral:lncRNA from 1 species
CGCCCAUUUGAAAAACUGGAGCUUAUUGCGGAAGCCACAAACCACCCAAAGAGAAUUUGGUGCCAUGUGCCAUCUACGAUACUUCUUUCUGCAGAGCAUUUCUGAAAAACGCCAGCAUGGCCAAACAGCGAUUCGAAAGAGCUGCAAGACAGUGGAAUCCCAUAAACCACGCCAGUAGUGCAAGGAGCAUAUCUGUGGACAUGACUGGAGACACAUUUGUUCCCUUUCCCUGGCUGCUGACACAAUGCUCUAUCCACCAAAGUACACACAUUAUGCACUUUAUUACGUGCUGAGAAUGACAUGUUUAUGCAAUAACGAGCACCAACAUUUUUCAAACCAUGUGCUAUCCUGUGUAUGUAUGGGAUAACUGCCUGCCUCUUUUUCUUGCUAAUUUCUAGUGCACUAGAAUCACAAUGAUAAAACUUCUCGAUCUUUGAAAUAAGUUUUUCCGACAAGAAGCAAAUCACGUCACUCGGAAAGCCAGAAUUUGCAAGGCGAGCAAGUUGUGCAUCAAAUGCAUGCGCCAUAAGGUGCUCGCGUAACUUCUGAAGAGCGGCACCCAGCACAGUUGAUGCAAUGGCUCCCUGUAUGGUUUUGAGUGGCCAGAAUUAAAAUUUAGAAUUGGCUUUAUGAAUCUAGGUUGGUAUUGCUAUAUAUGUGAUCUUUGAUGAAAGCCUGUCUUAAAUCGAGAAACUGUAGCUCAUCAAUUUUUUGAAACUCCAAAGUGAAACGCUGACAUUUCGUUUUCCUUAACAUCUUUCUUUAUAUUAGCAACCAGUAAAGAGCGAUUGUUAAUGUCCAGUAGAACUAAGAAGUCAUGGACAUAUCAAACAGCGUGUGAUGAUAACCAAUUCAAAUGCUUUUGCAGCUGCCCGUCUACAUACCCAAGAAAAAUAUAACUAAUUACAGGUAUAUUCAUGAUUCAAUGCAGAUACCACAUUUUUGGACAAAAUUAUUUCCCUACCAAGACACAACGGUAGAAUUUAGGUGCCCUGCAUGAGCUCUAAAAACGACGCAAUAGAGAUGCCACACUGGCACUGAAACAACAACUCAUCAUUAUCUUCUCUCAUGCACUGCUUUAUACACUUCAAAUCUUCACAUUGGGGCAAACAAUAAUAUAAAUAUUUUACGUCUAUACCGAAUGCAUUACGGCACAAAGAAGGUUGUUCACUUGAACAAGAUAAGAUGAUAGAUUCUGAGUUAGAAAUUCUUAGCGGAUCACAAGUCUUCAAACGCUCCGAAUUUCUUUGAAUAUACUCUGAAACAUUUA